GUCAAGGAAUGAUAUUGACUAUGCAACACCGAUUGCGAGGUGGCUAACGAUGCAACAGGACUAUGGUGGUGGAUUUCACUCGACGCAGUUUCCACUUGGAAGAAAGAUUCACAUCAAAUUGACUGGUCAAGGAAAUGGGACACUGACUGUCCUUAUGGGAACAGGAAAAAUGACAAGCUGGAAAAUUUUGCAAGUAAUCUUUGGGCCAGCCUGGAAUCUUCCCAUCCUCUGGCCAUGACCUUGUGACCCUGCUUGGAGGUUGUACUUACAGUUUCAGAAGUGAUCAAUUCCAGUGAGGAUGUCUGUACUAAGGUGAAAGCUCACGCACAGUUCUUCACGACGGGAAAAAUGGCUCCAUUCAGACUCUGGAGAUUCAGGUAUCCCACUGAGAAUCGUUGUCUCCUUCAUCAUUCACCUUAUUCCAGUCACCUGUCCUGCCCUGUGUGAUUUCUGUCCAUUCUCUCAGUCAUGCUUGUCUGAGGGGAUAGCCACUACUGUAGCCCUGUUGUUGACUUGUGCAGUAUCCUCACAGUCAGGGAAUGCUUCCCCAUUCCUGAGAGAUUUCAGCUGGCUUAAACAGCUCUGAAAACCACGAAACACUUUUACAAGAGUCAGCGGAAAUCCACUUGCAUCUAACCUGUAAGUAGUUGGUGAUAUCUCUAUCCUCACUGCACUGGAUUAAGAGAGGAUUGUAACUGGAAUACUGAGGUCAAAACAUAUACCAUUAGCAUCCGAGCAGCAUUACGCAUACUUCCAUCAGAAUGUGAAUCAGAUGACAGGGAUUAUACCUAGCACUUGGAGAACUGACAGAAACCCCAGGUUACCGUGUCAGGAAAGUUCCAGUGAAUGAAGUGCCAACCGAGCACUUACCAUUCGGGGGCAGUCUGUGGCUAAAACCCCACUCACUGAGAGAUGCUGGCCAAACAGAGACUAGUGUCUCGCCAUUGCAGGUGGUGCCACCAGGAAGGGUGGCUGAUGCUGGUACUGCAAUUAAUCCAAUGCUAUUAGUGAGUCAUGAACAAAUUGGGGUCGUGGGAGAGGUUUUCUGGCCAGGGAAUCAGGAGGUUGUAAGAAAAGGUAGUCAGGUGCUAUCUGUUUGCCAUCGCUACUAAUAUGGCAUGGCGGAUCAAUGGUUAGCACUGCUGCCUCACAGCUCCAGGGACCCAGGUUCAAUUCCAACCUCAGGUGACUGUCUGUGUGGAGUUUGCACAUUCUGUAUAUGUCUGCAUGGGUUUCCUCUGGGUGCUCCAGUUUCCUCCCACAGUCCAAAGAUGUGCAGGUUAGAUGGCUUGGCCAUGCUAAGUUGCUAAGAGUGUCCAGGUAUGUGUGGGUUAGGUGGGUUAUAGUGGAAUGGGUGUGGGUGGAAUGCUGCAAAGGUCAAUGUUGGGUCAAAGGGUCUGAUUGUACACUGUAGGGAUUCUAUAAUUAAGAGUUUUACUUCUCAAACUUUCUGUGUGAUAUUUGUUCAGCCUCAGUUAUUAAUUGCCCACUCAGGGGAGUAAAGACCAUUUACCAGCCUUCCCAAUCGAGACUGCAUCAGGGUAAAACUUGAAAGACAGUCAGGUCCGUACUUACACUCUCCAGCUCAAACCCCGCAUAAAGAGAGGGGUGUUAAAUUCUACCCGUCAUGUACAAAAUCCAGCACCUACGUGAUUGCCUGCAAAAAUGCCAUCCAUCACUGCCCACAACAGAAGAGUGAACCUGGCAGAAACGCAGAAUUGCUACAACGCAGAAGGAAGACAUUCAGCCCAUCAUACUUGCCAAGCUCUCUGAGCACUCUAAUUUAAGGCCAAUCUUCUACCUUUUUCCAAAAACCCUGCAUGUAUUUUUUUUUCUGUUUAAGUAACCAUCCCUCUUGCGUGCCUUCGCCGAAUCUGCCACCACCACAUUUCCGGGCAGUGGAUUCCAGGCCCAGAUCACUCAC